rnacentral:lncRNA from 1 species
CAGCUGAAAAGCAUGGUGCCACCAAUCCUUGCACUUCAAGUUCCCGUUUGCCUCAUUGGGAGUCCAGCCAACUUGCUGUCUGUUGUUUAGUGUGGGCGAGGAGAUGGGAGGAAAGAACUGGGUGAUGGGAGGGUAGGAGGACAAAGAGACACUGUGGGGAGUGGAAAUUUCAUUGAAGGGGGCGAAGGAGGGGAGAGUGAGAAACAAGACUCUUGAUGGGGGAAAAAUGCAGCUUCAGAGGUCUCUUGGAGAAGUCCCUGAAGGUACAUUUAUCAGGCUUGUCUCCAGGAAGGUUGUCUUCUUGGAAGAACUGUCAUCUCCAAAAUUCAAAUCCAAAUGGGGACAUUAGGUUGAUGAAAAGUCAUGCCUGGGUUUAGGAGGAAAAAGGAGAAAAUUGUGAAGGUGGAAGAGUCAUCAUUUAAAUUCCUCUACACUUUAAGAGAUGGUUUGUUUGUCCCAAUAAGAUGACCAGGGGGAGCCAUCCCGAGAGUGAGCCUCAUUCUAUAGCAUGUUAAAAAUGGAAAGAUCAGAAGGGUAGGAGCCAAAAUCCCCCAGUUCAAGCGUCAACUCUGCCACUUACUACCUGUAUAAUCUUAUGCAAGUCAUCGUCUUUGAACCUGUUUCUUAUUUAGAAAAUGGGAAGAAUUAUAGUACUUCUGUCUCCUUCAUGAAACUGUGUGUAGAAGUAAAUGAAAUGUGCAAAUCAAAUCAAAUGUAUUAAAGUGCUUUGUAAUCAUAAACACUAUGCAAUUAUGGAAUAUUAUUUAUAUAAUAAAAAUAUAUUUGGCUCAGUGGUUGUCUAUUGG